GUAAAGUAUAAACCCCUUUACSAGUAUCAAUUGGAGGGCAAGUCUGGUGCCAGCAGCCGCGGUAAUUCCAGCUCCAAUAGCGUAUAUUAAAGUUGUUGCAGUUAAAAAGCUCGUAGUUGGAUUUCUGUUGCAUCAUUAUAUUAUCACUAAGGKAAUAAUAUAAUAUCAACAUCCUCCCUNNUUAUAUCUAAUAUAGAGGGAAUUUUACUUUGAGAAAAUUAGAGUGCUUAAAGCAGGCAACUGCCUUGAAUACUCCAGCAUGGAAUAAUAAGCAAGGACUUUUGUCUUUCUUAUUGGUUCUAGGACAAAAGUAAGGGUUAAUAGGGACAGUUGGGGGCAUUCGUAUUUAACAGUUAGAGGUGAAA
rnacentral:rRNA from 1 species